rnacentral:rRNA from 1 species
UGCGGGGGGUGCGAGCGUUGUCCGGAAUCACUGGGCGUAAAGGGUGCGUAGGUGGCGCCGUAAGUCGGGUGUGAAAUUUCGGAGCUUAACUCCGAAACUGCAUUCGAUACUGCGGUGCUUGAGGUCUGGAGAGGAGACUGGAAUUCAUGGUGUAGCAGUGAAAUGCGUAGAGAUCAUGAGGAAGACCAGUGGCGAAGGCGGGUCUCUGGACAGUUCCUGACACUGAGGCACGAAAGCCAGGGGAGCAAACGGG